rnacentral:rRNA from 1 species
UACGUAGGGGGCAAGCGUUGUCCGGAAUUAUUGGGCGUAAAGAGCGCGUAGGCGGUCCGAUAAGUCGGCUGUGAAAGUCAGGGGCUCAACCCUUGGAAGCCGGCCGAUACUGUCGGACUAGAGUCCGGAAGAGGCGAGUGGAAUUCCCGGUGUAGCGGUGAAAUGCGCAGAUAUCAGGAGGAACACCGGUGGCGAAGGCGGGUCUCUGGGCCGAUACUGACGCUGAGGAGCGAAAGCGUGGGGAGCGAACAGG